rnacentral:rRNA from 1 species
CACUAUCGUUAACUGAAUACAUAGGUUAACGAGGCGAACCGGGGGAACUGAAACAUCUAAGUACCCCGAGGAAAAGAAAUCAACCGAGAUUCCCCCAGUAGCGGCGAGCGAACGGGGAGCAGCCCAGAGUCUGAAUCAGCUUGUGUGUUAGUGGAACGGUCUGGAAAGUCCGACGGUACAGGGUGAUAGUCCCGUACACCAAAAUGCACAGGUUGUGAACUCGAAGAGUAGGGCGGGACACGUGGUAUCCUGUCUGAAUAUGGGGGGACCAUCCUCCAAGGCUAAAUACUCCUGACUGACCGAUAGUGAACCAGUACCGUGAGGGAAAGGCGAAAAGAACCCCGGCGAGGGGAGUGAAAAAGAACCUGAAACCGUGUACGUACAAGCAGUGGGAGCACCUUCGGGUGUGACUGCGUACCUUUUGUAUAAUGGGUCAGCGACUUAUAUUCUGUAGCAAGGUUAACCGUAUAGGGGAGCCGCAGGGAAACCGAGUCUUAACUGGGCGUUAAGUUGCAGGGUAUAGACCCGAAACCCGGUGAUCUAGCCAUGGGCAGGUUGAAGGUUGGGUAACACUAACUGGAGGACCGAACCGACUAAUGUUGAAAAAUUAGCGGAUGACUUGUGGCUGGGGGUGAAAGGCCAAUCAAACCGGGAGAUAGCUGGUUCUCCCCGAAAGCUAUUUAGGUAGCGCCUCGUGAACUCAUCUUCGGGGGUAGAGCACUGUUUCGGCUAGGGGGUCAUCCCGACUUACCAACCCGAUGCAAACUACGAAUACCGAAGAAUGUUAUCACGGGAGACACACGGCGGGUGCUAACGUCCGUCGUGAAGAGGGAAACAACCCAGACCGCCAGCUAAGGUCCCAAAGUCAUGGUUAAGUGGGAAACGAUGUGGGAAGGCACAGACAGCCAGGAUGUUGGCUUAGAAGCAGCCAUCAUUUAAAGAAAGCGUAAUAGCUCACUGGUCGAGUCGGCCUGCGCGGAAGAUGUAACGGGGCUAAACCAUGCACCGAAGCUGCGGCAGCGACACUAUGUGUUGUUGGGUAGGGGAGCGUUCUGUAAGCCUGCGAAGGUGACCUGUGAGGGUUGCUGGAGGUAUCAGAAGUGCGAAUGCUGACAUAAGUAACGAUAAAGCGGGUGAAAAGCCCGCUCGCCGGAAGACCAAGGGUUCCUGUCCAACGUUAAUCGGGGCAGGGUGAGUCGACCCCUAAGGCGAGGCCGAAAGGCGUAGUCGAUGGGAAACAGGUUAAUAUUCCUGUACUUGGUGUUACUGCGAAGGGGGGACGGAGAAGGCUAUGUUAGCCGGGCGACGGUUGUCCCGGUUUAAGCAUGUAGGCUGAUUGUCCAGGCAAAUCCGGAUAAUCAAGGCUGAGGUGUGAUGACGAGGCACUACGGUGCUGAAGUAACAAAUGCCCUGCUUCCAGGAAAAGCCUCUAAGCAUCAGGUAACAUCAAAUCGUACCCCAAACCGACACAGGUGGUCAGGUAGAGAAUACCAAGGCGCUUGAGAGAACUCGGGUGAAGGAACUAGGCAAAAUGGUGCCGUAACUUCGGGAGAAGGCACGCUGGUGUGUAGGUGAAGCCCCUGCGGGUGGAGCUGAGACCAGUCGAAGAUACCAGCUGGCUGCAACUGUUUAUUAAAAACACAGCACUGUGCAAACACGAAAGUGGACGUAUACGGUGUGACGCCUGCCCGGUGCCGGAAGGUUAAUUGAUGGGGUUAUCCGUAAGGAGAAGCUCUUGAUCGAAGCCCCGGUAAACGGCGGCCGUAACUAUAACGGUCCUAAGGUAGCGAAAUUCCUUGUCGGGUAAGUUCCGACCUGCACGAAUGGCGUAAUGAUGGCCAGGCUGUCUCCACCCGAGACUCAGUGAAAUUGAACUCGCUGUGAAGAUGCAGUGUACCCGCGGCAAGACGGAAAGACCCCGUGAACCUUUACUAUAGCUUGACACUGAACAUUGAGCCUUGAUGUGUAGGAUAGGUGGGAGGCUUUGAAGCGUGGACGCCAGUCUGCGUGGAGCCAACCUUGAAAUACCACCCUUUAAUGUUUGAUGUUCUAACGUUGGCCCCUGACCGGGGUUGCGGACAGUGUCUGGUGGGUAGUUUGACUGGGGCGGUCUCCUCCCAAAGCGUAACGGAGGAGCACGAAGGUUAGCUAAUCCUGGUCGGACAUCAGGAGGUUAGUGCAAUGGCAUAAGCUAGCUUGACUGCGAGCGUGACGGCGCGAGCAGGUGCGAAAGCAGGUCAUAGUGAUCCGGUGGUUCUGAAUGGAAGGGCCAUCGCUCAACGGAUAAAAGGUACUCCGGGGAUAACAGGCUGAUACCGCCCAAGAGUUCAUAUCGACGGCGGUGUUUGGCACCUCGAUGUCGGCUCAUCACAUCCUGGGGCUGAAGUAGGUCCCAAGGGUAUGGCUGUUCGCCAUUUAAAGUGGUACGCGAGCUGGGUUUAGAACGUCGUGAGACAGUUCGGUCCCUAUCUGCCGUGGGCGCUGGAGAAUUGAGGGGGGCUGCUCCUAGUACGAGAGGACCGGAGUGGACGCAUCACUGGUGUUCGGGUUGUCAUGCCAAUGGCACUGCCCGGUAGCUAAAUGCGGAAGAGAUAAGUGCUGAAAGCAUCUAAGCACGAAACUUGCCCCGAGAUGAGUUCUCCCUGAGACUUUAAGUCUCCUGAAGGAACGUUGAAGACGACGACGUUGAUAGGCCGGGUGUGUAAGCGCAGCGAUGCGUUGAGCUAACCGGUACUAAUGAACCGUGAGGCUUAACCUU